rnacentral:rRNA from 1 species
UCGAGAAUUUUUCUCAAUGGGGGAAACCCUGAAGGAGCGACGCCGCGUGGGGGAUGAAGGGCUUCGGCCUGUAAACCCCUGUCACUUGGGAACAAACCUUUUGACCUAACACGUCAAGAGUUGAUAGUACCAGGAGAGGAAGGCACGGCUAACUCUGUGCCAGCAGCCGCGGUAAUACAGAGGUGCCAAGCGUUGUUCGGAUUUAUUGGGCGUAAAGGGUGCGUAGGUGGCGAUGCAAGUCGGAUGUGAAAUCCCGGAGCCUAACUCCGGAAUGGCAUUUGAAACUGCAUCGCUCGAGGUCUGGAGAGGUGACUGGAAUUCUCGGUAUAGCAGUGAAAUGCGUAGAUAUCGAGAGGAACACCAGAGGCGAAAGCGAGUCACUGGACAGAACCUGACACUGAGGCACGAAAGCCAGGGGAGCAAACGGG